GUGGGGAAUCUUCCGCAAUGGACGAAAGUCUGACGGAGCAACGCCGCGUGAACGAUGACGGCCUUCGGGUUGUAAAGUUCUGUUAUACGGGACGAAUGGUACGACGGUCAAUACCCGUCGUAAGUGACGGUACCGUAAGAGAAAGCCACGGCUAACUACGUGCCAGCAGCCGCGGUAAUACGUAGGUGGCAAGCGUUGUCCGGAAUUAUUGGGCGUAAAGGGCGCGCAGGCGGCGUCGUAAGUCGGUCUUAAAAGUGCGGGGCUUAACCCCGUGAGGGGACCGAAACUGCGAUGAUAGAGUAUCGGAGAGGAAAGCGGAAUUCCUAGUGUAGCGGUGAAAUGCGUAGAUAUUAGGAGGAACACCAGUGGCGAAAGCGGCUUUCUGGACGACAACUGACGCUGAGGCGCGAAAGCCAGGGGAGCAAACGGGAUUAGAUACCCGGGUAGUCC
rnacentral:rRNA from 1 species